GCACAAGCGGUGGAGCAUGUGGUUUAAUUCGACGCAACGCGAAGAACCUUACCAGGGCUUGACACUCCCCUGACCGCGUAUGAAAGUACGUUUUCACCCUCGGGUGACAGGGAGACAGGUGGUGCAUGGUUGUCGUCAGCUCGUGUCGUGAGAUGUUGGGUUAAGUCCCGCAACGAGCGCAACCCCUACGUUUAGUUGCUAACAGGUGAAGCUGAGCACUCUAGACGAACUGCCGUUGACAAAACGGAGGAAGGUGGGAUGACGUCAAAUCAUCAUGCCCCUUAUGUUCUGGGCUACACACGUGCUACAAUGGCCGGUACAGACGGAGGCGAAGCCGCGAGGCGGAGCAAAUCCGAAAAAGCCGGUCUCAGUUCGGAUUGCAGGCUGCAAUUCGCCUGCAUGAAGUCGGAAUCGCUAGUAAUCGCAGGUCAGCAUACUGCGGUGAAUACGUUCCCGGGCCUU
rnacentral:rRNA from 1 species